CUGAUGGUGUGGACUGCGUGGCAGACACCCCGCUCGGUCUCCUUUCUUUUUAUUCAUUCUUCCUCUCAUUCUUUGUUCUUUCAUGAACUCCGGCUAUCUCCUCAGCAGCCAUCCAGUCGGAGAGAUCGAGUGAGGCAGCGGGAAGCGUGGAGGGGCUCGAGAAAGAGAGAUGAGCCACAGCUUGGAAGACUGCUUACCCGCAACUAGAAGAUAGCAAUAACGGGGAGCAGAACACGGCAGGAUUUGGGGUCUUACUCAUUCCUGAUAUCCGGACAUCUCGCCUCGGAUAACAGCAUUGCGACUCCACCGCUCACUCUGUUUGCUCUGCAACAUUGAUGUUUUAUCACCACCAAAAACACAAACCUGGAGGAGUUCUGCCAUGUGGUGAGUAGCUAAUGCUAACAGUUUGCUUCUACUAUCUGAGACAUGCUCUGCUCUCUCCUGGACACUAAAUUAACAACAGCUUUCCAGCGCUCCUCUGUGAGAGCGGAGGUUGGGUAGUUGCACACGUAUGGCUGCUGUUUCUCACCAGUAUCAGCUGAUGGAGAGCUCUAGUUUCGUUGCACCGUUCGUGUUGCGGACCGCCAGGCUUAUAAAGCGUGGGGGAAACCCUGCUGUGUCUAAUGCAGAAAUUGGGGUCAGAAGACUAUUUUCACAUUAAGCCUGCAUGUUAAACUCAGAGUGACUGAUUACUUUCAAAAUUUACAAAUAAAACAUGGUUUCUCAGUGAGCUUGUUCUUUAAUGUCUGCAAUAUGAAUCAAUAAUAAUGAAAAAGUGAUUUUGACACUGAACUGUUUACUGUCUGAUGUUUAUUUUAUUAUGUAAUUUUAUAAAACAUAUAAGGGCCUGAUGGACAGAUGACCAGUGUGUCUGCUGCCUCUCACCCUCAAUGACAGCUGGAUAUCGCCCCUGGCUUUCCCACAAUCUGAGUAAGAAUGUAAUGGUUUACAUAAUGAAUGGAUACAAGUAUAAAUAAAUAAAUGACUGUUGCCAUCUGUAGAUCCUCCACAAGAAGGCAGAACACACAAAUGCUAUAGAUAAUGGCAGGUCUAUGAUGAAGGCACUGAACCUAAUACUCCAUCAGGCCUGAAGGGGUUUGACAAAAAUUUUGAAUGAAGCAAAGCAAGCAGCAAGCAGUCAAAUCUCCCAUAGACAACACAAAACACCUCAUUUGAGUUGUUUGACUGGACUCUGAGCUCCUUUUGAAAAACCAAGUUCUUCACCUUAUGAGUCUGACCCUGGUUUCACACUGGAAGCAUCAGCGGCACGAAAUGGCAGCGGAACGGUUUACUCGUGAACUUCAAAGCGGUCCUUUUCACACCAUGAGUUUUGGCAGAGGCACGGCUUCCUCGCUGGGCUCGUCGCUGGAUUCAUGAGAUCACACGAUUCCUCGAGACUUCAGGUCACGGUUUGUGUAUACAAUCCGUCAUUAAACCAAAAAGAAGGAAAUCACAUUUGCUAUCGCUGUUUGAUGUCAUAUAUGAUGUUGUUCUUCUCCACUGCCAUGAUUAAAGCCAUGAAAACACACCACUGCACUUCUGAAAUGAUGUGAGUAAAUAAGUCAUUGGGUCACACGUGGGUGGGUCACAUGUUGCAUCGCUGCAGUACUUUUAUUUUGAAAAUUAUUGGGGAUUUGCACACUGAAACAGUGUGUGAUUUCCUGUCUAGCCCUUUGUUAACUGCAGAAAUUGACUCAUCCCAGAAGCAGGUCGUGGCAAAAUAGAACCCGAUGCCAACUCUAGAGGCGCGGCGUGCCGCCUCUGGGAUGCUCCUGGAAAUUGCUGCGUUCUGAUGGUUUAAGUCCACAGUCUAUAGACUAUAAUAGAUUCUAUUUGAAGCAGUGAUAUUCUGCUGCUGUUCCACGCUGCUGAUGCUUUCAGUGUGAAACCAGGGGGUCAUCAGCUAUCUGAGCUCAUUACCCAAAGCUCAUGGGCCCAUAGGUGAAGGUCGGAAAGCAAAUGUGCACAUCAACAACUGAUUACGUUUCCAUACUUGCUUUGGUUUCUAUUUCUUGCAGUUGUAUGAGUAUUUAACAACUAUGUGAAUGAAUGAAACUGUUGCGCACCCAUGAGUUAUUUGACUCUCUUGAUUUGUUGACCAUGUUGGCUGACUUACCCAGGACGGUGAGCCGAGCAGGACGGGACCUCAUGGCAGCCUGGACGGCCUGGCAUUCAAACACUGCAUCAUCCAUCAGCUCAACACGCUGAAUGCGCAAAUGAUGCUCCCCCGAGCCGUGGUCGCCAAUCACUGUGUAACGUGGAUAGCCUGCAGCGCAAACAGUUUUGUUUAUUUUACAUCAUUUUCAAUGUCAGAAUACAACUGAUCUGCCAAAAUGCAUUCAUUUGUUAAGUUCCUCAUAAAUCAUAAAGUCUGUUGUCAAGCAUGAAUUCAGUGUUACCAGGUUAUGAGUGCAUUAAAAGAGCUACAUAGAUUGAUUUAUAUAGCUAGAUCGUUUGUUUAAUAACGCGUUCACAUUACAUUUACAGCGCUCGUGGUGAUGCUACUGAGAUGCUGUGGAAGUUUCUGCAUCCAGGACAAAUCAUGUUCCAUCAGAACAGUGAAGAUGAAUGGCUCAAACCUGAGUUGUUUCAGCACUGCUGUGUGAAAGGGAUUUACAGUUUAAUAACGGGAGAAAGCAGAGGGUUAUCCAAGAGACCUGGGGAGUCGAACCAGAUGGUUUUAUGGAUAUCCCCUCAACUAAUAUCAAAUUUUGCAUUGGGUGUGUGUAAUGUGGAGUGCUUCUUUCUGUGGGGACGAAUGAUCAGGAAAACGUACGUGUUAAACUAAUGUGCACUGUGAGGUAUUUUUACAGGCUUUUGGAAUUGUUCAUCGAUGAAAAGCCUUUUAUGCGACAUCUCUUCAUGUUUGGACGUGGAUACAAUUUGUAGAAUGCAAGGAUAUUUUCUUGUCCUAAAUCUUUUACUUUAGACAAAUGUGAGACAUUUCCAGUUGAGGAAAGGCUCUUUUUGAUUUUUUUCCACUACAGUUGUCCUUCUGUAAUUGAUUGGUGAUAAAACCAGAGGAUUGGAUUGAAGAGCUUUACAGGAGAACAAGGCCAGGCAUUCUCAGAGAGCCCCAGGGCAACUUUUUUGCAAAUCAAUCUACACUUCUCUGUCACCUGGGGAUGCACAUGCAUCGUUUCACAAGUACGUUGGCCGGCAUUUUGUAGGUCUGAUGCUGGAAUUUCAGUCGUGGUUCAGCGCCACGGUAACUUCUAUGGCGGGAAACCCUGAUUGCACUCAUGCGUCCGGACCACGAUCAUGUAUUUACUAAUGUGUUUAUAGAUUUCAGAGACUUUUUAACAGGGACAAAUGUGUCCUUUGUUCUCCUCUAGCUCUUCAUGUGGUCACCAACUCUAAACCAUGCUCUUAACCUAUGCUUUUCUCAUUUCCAUCCACGAAUAAAAUGUUUGCUCAGUA